UACGGAGGGGGCUAGCGUUGUUCGGAAUUACUGGGCGUAAAGCGCACGUAGGCGGCUUUGUACGUUAGAGGUGAAAGCCCAGGGCUUAACCCUGGAAUUGCCUUUAAGACUGCAUCGCUAGAAUUGUGGAGAGGUAAGUGGAAUUCCGAGUGUAGAGGUGAAAUUCGUAGAUAUUCGGAAGAACACCAGUGGCGAAGGCGACUUACUGGACACAUAUUGACGCUGAGGUGCGAAAGCGUGGGGAGCAAACAGG
rnacentral:rRNA from 1 species